CGUCCGGCCGACCGGCGCACGGUGAGUAACACGUAUGCAACCUCGCCCUCUUCUAGGGGGACAACCUUCCGAAAGGGAGGCUAAUCCCGCGUAUAUCGGUUUCGGGCAUCCGAGAUCGAGGAAAGAUUCAUCGGAAGAGGAUGGGCAUGCGGCGCAUUAGCUAGACGGCGGGGUAACGGCCCACCGUGGCGACGAUGCGUAGGGGUUCUGAGAGGAAGGUCCCCCACACUGGUACUGAGACACGGACCAGACUCCUACGGAAGGCAGCAG
rnacentral:rRNA from 1 species